rnacentral:lncRNA from 12 species
AAACUAGAUUCUGGCCUUUGCCAGCUUCUCUCUCCCGGUGUCCUCCCCUCCCCCUCUUCAUUCUGAAGACCGAGGCUAGAGUGCCAGUGCUCAAAUCCAGGGGUCAGGGGCUGUUGAAUGCAUCUUGUAUCCACAGAGUCCAGAAGCUCAAUCAGCACAUGUUGCACGAAUGAAUGAAUGAAUGAAUGGGCCUCCAGCAUGGGUGCAGGCCAACUCCCACCCGAGGAAAUCUCCGCGGCAGAGAAGGCAUGCUGGAGGGACUCCUGGGCCAGGAUGCCUACCCACCUUCUUCCCUGAGACAACAUCUGUCGGCCCUACUGCCACCCAGAUGGACUCAAGAACUCCAAAAUGCCUCAAGUUCAGUCCCAAUAGGUAGGUCUCAGAGAAGCAGAAGUUCCCUCUUGAGCUCAGCUAGCUUUUGCAGUUUCUGUCUCAGGACCCACCUGUUUCCAAGGAAUGACAGCAGGAAUAUCUGUCCCCUAGAGAUGGGGGAAAUCUGUCCCCUCAUUCACACAGGUGUGUGCCUCCUCUGUCAUUCACAAAGAGCAACUGCAUUAAAACAGUGCUAGAAAUGUAACAUCUGCACAUGAAAUACAGAUCAGAUACGGCAGGGGUAUAGUGUUGUUAACUUCCCAUCAGAUUUCAGAAAGCACUGAGCUCCCCAUUACUAGCACAAUGCAAGAAGAGCAGAAAGUGCCAUUUAUCUAGGAGGUUAGAGAGAUUCCAAAUUAAAUUGGGGAGCAAAAUCGAAAGACUUUGAAAGUUCUUUCCAACUUGAAAAUGUUAUGAUUCGGAUUAUUUAUCCACAGAAAACUUGUGAGGUUGCAGAGAUAUAAAAGUGAAAAAGUGGGUGAGUCUGUUUUGUGACUUUGUCUUUCAUUGCUAUGUGUGGGGUAGGUGUAGGUGUGUGUGUGUAUGUUUGGCCAUCUUUGAGCUAAAAUUAACUUAGUACAGAUAUUAUUUUCUUCUGACUUAAUUGACCUUGACAAAGAUCUUUUUUUUUAAGAUUUUAUUUAUUUAUUUGAGAGAGAGAGAGAAAGAAAGAGAAAGGGAGCAUAAGCAGGGGGAAGGGCAGAGGGAGAGGGAGAAGCAGACUCCCCACCAAACAGGGAGCCCAAAUGUGGGACUCAUCCCAGAAUCCAGAGAUCAUGACCUACCUGCGCUGAAGGCAGACACCCAACCAACGGAGCCACCCAGAUGCCCCGACCUUAGCAAAGAUUUAUGCACAGGUUAUGCAUGCUGUUGUCCUCUGGAGGUCAGUUUGUGUAGGUGGGGCCAAAUCAAGGAUCCGAAAGGUAACAUAGAAGGCCUCUGAACAAUCAAACGUCACAGAGUUCGAUCCGUGGACUCAGAGGAGAGCUUCUCUGGCCUUCCUCACUCCAGGCCUACUGACUCUUGCUUUGUGUGCAAUUCUUAUAAGGCUCACAAUUUUGUUUCCUAGGAAUAUUGGAAGCAGUUCAGAAGGAAUGGAUGAGAAGGUGGCUUGAGGCACUUGCCUGUUUUAUAGUAAUACAGCUUCACAGUGAAAACAUCAGGGUCAAACAAAAGAAUACACAGAAAAAUUGGACC